rnacentral:rRNA from 1 species
AAUUCUUAGUGGCGAACGGGUGAGUAACGCGUAGGCAACCUGCCCUUUAGACGGGGACAACAUUCCGAAAGGAGUGCUAAUACCGGAUGUGAUCAUCGUGCCGCAUGGCAGGAUGAAGAAAGAUGGCCUCUACAAGUAAGCUAUCGCUAAAGGAUGGGCCUGCGUCUGAUUAGCUAGUUGGUAGUGUAACGGCCCACCAAGGCGACGAUCAGUAGCCGACCUGAGAGGGUGACCGGCCACAUUGGGACUGAGACACGGCCCAGACUCC